rnacentral:rRNA from 1 species
UUCGCAAUGCCCGAAAGGGUGACGAAGCGACGCCGCGUGAGCGAAGAAGGCCCUAGGGUUGUAAAGCUCUGUCGAGGGUUAUGAAAUAUAGAUGGGUUAAUACCCCAUUUAUUUGACAAAAGCCCAAAAGGAAGCCACGGCUAACUCUGUGCCAGCAGCCGCGGUAAUACAGAGGUGGCAAGCGUUGUUCGGAAUUAUUGGGCGUAAAGAGCACGUAGGUGGAUUUGUAAGUCAGACGUGAAAGCCUUCUGUUCAACGGAAGAAUUGCAUCUGAAACUACAAACCUUGAGUGUAGGAGGGGAGAAUGGAACUUCUGGUGGAGCGGUGAAAUGCGUAGAUAUCAGAAGGAACGCCGGCGGCUAAAGCGAUUCUCUGGCCUAUUACUGACACUGAGUGUGCGAAAGUUAGGGGAGCAAACGGGAUUAGAUACCCCGGUAGUCCUAACCGUAAACGACGGGCACUAAGUAGAGGGGUUUU